rnacentral:rRNA from 1 species
GAUGAACGCUGGCGGCGUGCCUAAUACAUGCAAGUCGAGCGAACAGAUGAGGAGCUUGCUCCUCUGACGUUAGCGGCGGACGGGUGAGUAACACGUGGAUAACCUACCUAUAAGACUGGGAUAACUUCGGGAAACCGGAGCUAAUACCGGAUAAUAUAUUGAACCGCAUGGUUCAAUAGUGAAAGACGGUUUUGCUGUCACUUAUAGAUGGAUCCGCGCCGCAUUAGCUAGUUGGCAAGGUAACGGCUUACCAAGGCGACGAUGCGUAGCCGACCUGAGAGGGUGGUCGGCCACCCUGGAACUGAGACACGGUCCAGACUCCUACGGGAGGCAGCAGUAGGGAAUCUUCCGCAAUGGGCGAAAGCCUGACGGAGCAACGCCGCGUGAGUGAUGAAGGUCUUCGGAUCGUAAAACUCUGUUAUUAGGGAAGAACAAAUGUGUAAGUAACUAUGCACGUCUUGACGGUACCUAAUCAGAAAGCCACGGCUAACUACGUG